AGUCUAGCAUGUGCGCGAGUCAGUGGGCUCUUACGAAACCCGACGGGCGCAAUGAAAGUGAAGGUCUCCUCCGGAGCACCUAGGCAAGAUCCGGCCGGCUCCACCGCGGGCCGCCGGCGCAUUGCCGGCCCGUCUCGGCGGCAUCGUUCGCGAGGCGGAGCAAGAGCGCACACGCUGGGACCCGAAAGAUGGUGAACUAUGUCUGAGUAGGGCGAAGUCAGAGGAAACUCUGAUGGAGGCCCGCAGCGAUUCUGACGUGCAAAUCGAUCGUCAAACUUGGAUAUAGGGGCGAAAGACUAAUCGAACCAUCUAGUAGCUGGUUCCCUC
rnacentral:rRNA from 1 species